AGAAGAAGAAAUGGGUGGAAAUGGGCAUGGACAGGUGAUGAAGUCUAAGGUUGUGAAAAUAGAGUCAGAGGAAUCGUGGGAUUUCUUCAUCGCUCAAGCUACCAAUAAAGGUUGCACUAUUGUGGUUCAGUUUACAGCUUGUUGGUGCAUGGCUUCUGUAGCCAUGAAUUCUUUCUCUGAGGAGCUAGCCUUGGCCUAUCAAGAUAUUCUGUUUCUCACAGUGGAUUUAGAUGAGAUUAAGAUAUAUAUUUUUGUUGCAUAUUACCAUUAGAAUGACUAAUUAAUUAAGGUAUACUUCAAUUAUUGUUCUGUCGCAAGAAUAUGGGGAUUGUUUUAUAAGUACUCCCUUGAUGGUAUGAAAAAGUCUUACAU
rnacentral:misc_RNA from 1 species